ACCUWACCAGGUCUUGACAUCCCUCUGAMCSGUCUAGAGAUAGGCCUUUCCUUCGGGACAGAGGAGACAGGUGGUGCAUGGUUGUCGUCAGCUCGUGUCGUGAGAUGUUGGGUUAAGUCCCGCAACGAGCGCAACCCUUGAUUUUAGUUGCCAGCACUUCGGGUGGGCACUCUAGAAUGACUGCCGGUGACAAACCGGAGGAAGGCGGGGAUGACGUCAAAUCAUCAUGCCCCUUAUGACCUGGGCUACACACGUACUACAAUGGCCAGUACAACGGGAAGCGAAGCCGCGAGGUGGAGCCAAUCCUAGCAAAGCUGGUCUCAGUUCGGAUUGCAGGCUGCAACUCGCCUGCAUGAAGUCGGAAUUGCUAGUAAUCGCGGAUCAGCAUGCCGCGGUGAAUACGUUCCCGGGUCUUGUACACACCGCCCGUCACACCACGAGAGUUUACAACACCCGAAGUCGGUGAGGUAACCGCAAGGAGCCAGCCGCCGAAAGGUUGGGUUUAAAGU
rnacentral:rRNA from 1 species